rnacentral:lncRNA from 1 species
ACAAAACAAACCCCGAAGCCGCAUGGAGGGUCCGGGCCGGAGCCCGCGGGGCGGCGCCCCCUGCUGAGCCCCGGCCGCCCGGUGAGCACCGCCCGCGGGGAGGGGGCUUGUGGUGACCGGGGGCAGGGGGCUGCGGGGCGCGGGAAGGGGUGUCCCGGCUCUCGGGGUGGAGAGGACGGUGCCCGGCGGAGGGAGCCCGCCGCCCGCUCGGCUCGGGNCCCCCCCCCCCUCCCGCCCCGUUCGUCGGCAGCGGCCGGCACCUUCGCAAGGAAAGCGAGUCUGGCAGCCAGCGCCGGGGGAAGGAAAGCGCCGUCCUGCCGGGGGAGAUGGGUCCUGCUGGUUGUGCGGGAGGCUCGGGUACGCGGCACCGGGGCAGAAGGGCUCGGUGGUUCUUGCGCUCUGUUGCCUCUCAGGUUGAUAGUCUCCUCCUCCGCUUCGGACCUGUUUGAAUGCUCGGGACGGCCGGGGGGGGACGGACGCGGGGUUUGUCUGCCCGGCUUGCGCCGGUGUCCGGCGGGACGGCUGCGGUCUGUGGGGGGGGGGGCUGCGGGGCCAGAGGAGGCGGAGAGGGGUCCCGAGGGCCGGCAGGCGGCGGGGCAGGACGGCGGGAGGGACUCUCCCCCCUCCGGCACGGCGUUUUAUGUAACUGACGGGGGCGGAGGGGGGCACGAAGGUUCACCGGCCGGGGUUGAGCGGCAGCUCCCCGCCACUCGGGAAGGGCCUUCUCCUGAGCAGCGAGGGGUGCGCUCCGGGGGAGGCCGCGCCGGCCGCCCCCACCCGAGAGGCGGCGGGGACCGCGGGGCGGGGGCUGACUCCGGCGGGGCAGGGGAGCCCUCCGCGCGCCCUUCCCGCCAAGCAGGGACCGGGGGGCGGGCCGGGGCGGGCUCCCAGUGUCCCGCAGAGGGGCGGCCGCGGCUCGGCUGCGCUCGGGGCGGCUUAAGGGGACCCGGGGCCGCGGCCGAUUCCCCCCGGAGCGGCGGAAGGGGGUUUGUUUACAUGUCGCCUCACCCUAGCUUGAAAGGACCGCUGGGCGGGUGA